rnacentral:rRNA from 1 species
AUGAACGCUGGCGGCGUGCUUAACACCUGCAAGUCGAACGAGAAGUGAAGACGGAAACCUUCGGGCGGAAGGCUUUAUUUCGAGUGGCGGACGGGUGAGUAACGCGUGGGUAACCUGCCUCAUACAGGGGGAUAACAGUUGGAAACGACUGUUAAUACCGCAUAAGACCACAGCACCGCAUGGUGCGGGGGUAAAAACUCCGGUGGUAUGAGAUGGACCCGCGUUCGAUUAGCCAGUUGGCGGGGUAACGGCCCACCAAAGCGACGAUCGAUAGCCGAUCUGAGAGGAUGACCGGCCACAUUGGGACUGAGACACGGCCCAAACUCCUACGGGAGGCAGCAGUGGGGAAUAUUGCACAAUGGGGGAAACCCUGAUGCAGCGACGCCGCGUGAGUGAAGAAGUAUUUCGGUAUGUAAAGCUCUAUCAGCAGGGAAGAAAAUGACGGUACCUGAGGAAGAAGCCCCGGCUAACUACGUG